rnacentral:lncRNA from 1 species
GACCUGGAGUUUCCUUUAUUCUGCCAGUUACCUGGUGGAGGACCCGACCUCCUAUUAAAACACUUUAUGUUGCUGUUUCCUUCACAAGGUUCAUUUCCAUCUUGCUGUUUGUUGAAAGGUCAAGAUGUUUGGAUGUGUAUUUUAUUCUUCUGAUUGUUACAGAUUGGCUAAAUGCAGACAAAAUGCAACCCAAAACAGUCUUACCACAGUGUGCUUAUUGUGUGUGUGUGUGUGUGUGUGUGUGUGUGCGUGUGCUUAUUGUGUGUGUGUGUGUGUUGCGUCAGGUCUGCUUUCACCUAGUUAUGUAUAGCUGUUGUGUUUCAAUGUCAAAGUAUUAUUCAGGUCCUGAGGGCCAAAACAUUUCUGCUUUCUCUUCCUACCUGAUGUCCCCAGGUCUGAAUGAGUCUCUCUACCUGAUGUCCCCAGGUCUGAAUGAGUCUCUCUACCUGAUGUCCCCAGGUCUGAAUGAGUCUCUCUACCUGAUGUCCCCAGGUCUGAAUGAGUCUCUCUACCUGAUGUCCCCAGGUCUGAAUGAGUCUCUCUACCUGAUGUCCCCAGGUCUGAAUGAGUCUCUCUACCUGAUGUCCCCAGGUCUGAACGAGUCUCUCUACCUGAUGUCCCCAGGUCUGAACGAGUCUCUCUACCUGAUGUCCCCAGGUCUGAACGAGUCUCUCUACCUGAUGUCCCCAGGUCUGAACGAGUCUCUCUACCUGAUGUCCCCAGGUCUGAAUGAGUCUCUCUACCUGAUGUCCCCAGGUCUGAAUGAGUCUCUCUACCUGAUGUCCCCAGGUCUGAAUGAGUCUCUCUACCUGAUGUCCCCAGGUCUGAAUGAGUCUCUCUACCUGAUGUCCCCAGGUCUGAAUGAGUCUCUCUACCUGAUGUCCCCAGGUCUGAAUGAGUCUCUCUACCUGAUGUCCCCAGGUCUGAAUGAGUCUCUCUACCUGAUGUCCCCAGGUCUGAAUGAGUCUCAACCUGUUGUCCCCAGAUCUGAACGAGUCUCGGGUCUGAACGAGUCUCGGAUUACAGGUAGAGGAUGAGAACCAGUAGUGUUUCGUCCCUCCAGGACCAGAAAGAAAUAGCCCUUGGCUAGAUUCAAUCUGAUCCGCAGAAGAUCCGGGUUAUAGUUCACCUUUAAAAAAAACCAAAAAGGUAAUUUACGAUUGAGCCUACUGUUAACGUGGAAACUUUACCUUUUAAUAAGGUGCACAGCCGAAAAGAGGAGAUCGGAUUUGAAUCUAGGAACAGCUUCCUCCCUCCCUCCAGUCCUAACGAGGGGUGAGAGAUAUAUAUAUAUAUGGGUCCCGUGUGGCUCAGUUGGUAGAGCAUGGGUGUUUGCAACGCCAGGGUUGUGGGUUCGAUUCCCACGGGGGACCAAUACGUGGGGGGGGGGGGAAAUGUCUGAAAUGUAUGCAUUCACUACUGUAAGUCGCUCUGGAUAAGAGCGUCUGCUAAAAUAACUAAAAUGUAAAUGUUAAUAACUGAUCUAGGAUCAGUUUCCUCCCUCCAGUCCUAACAGGUCACCAUUAGAGAGGUGAUAUAUAUAUAUAUAUAACUGAUCUAGGAUCAGUCCUAACGGGUCACCAUUAGAGAGGUGAUAUAUAUAACUGAUCUAGGAUCAGUCCUAACAGGUCACCAUUAGAGAGGUGAUAUAUAUAUAUAACUGAUCUAGGAUCAGUCCUAACAGGUCACCAUUAGAGAGGUGAUAUAUAUAUAUAACUGAUCUAGGAUCAGUCCUAACAGGUCACCAUUAGAGAGGUGAUAUAUAUAUAUAUAUAUAUAUAUAUAACUGAACUAGGACCAGUGUUAAACAGAGCUGAAUGUCUGUCUGGUUCAUACCAUUUAUGAUGCUGAUGUAUUGUUAUUAUAAUGACAUUAAAUUAUUGAAUGUUUC